UAGGGAAUCUUCGGCAAUGGACGAAAGUCUGACCGAGCAACGCCGCGUGAGUGAAGAAGGUUUUCGGAUCGUAAAGCUCUGUUGUAAGAGAAGAACGAGUGUGAGAGUGGAAAGUUCACACUGUGACGGUAUCUUACCAGAAAGGGACGGCUAACUACGUGCCAGCAGCCGCGGUAAUACGUAGGUCCCGAGCGUUGUCCGGAUUUAUUGGGCGUAAAGCGAGCGCAGGCGGUUAGAUAAGUCUGAAGUUAAAGGCUGUGGCUUAACCAUAGUACGCUUUGGAAACUGUUUAACUUGAGUGCAAGAGGGGAGAGUGGAAUUCCAUGUGUAGCGGUGAAAUGCGCAGAUAUAUGGAGGAACACCGGUGGCGAAAGCGGCUCUCUGGCUUGUAACUGACGCUGAGGCUCGAAAGCGUGGGGAGCAAACAGGAUUAGAUACCCUGGUAGUCCACGCCGUAACGAUGAGUGCUAGGUGUUAGACCCUUUCCGGGGUUUAGUGCCGUAGCUAACGCAUUAAGCACUCCGCCUGGGGAGUACGACCGCAAGGUUG
rnacentral:rRNA from 1 species